rnacentral:tRNA from 1 species
GCUGUAGUAGCUUAGCGUUUAAAGCACCGACCUUGUAAGUCGGCCAUCGGAGGUUUGAACCCUCCCUACCGCU